rnacentral:lncRNA from 1 species
AUAGGAACCACAUACUAUAAGUACUAAAUAACAUCAUAUCCCUUCUAGUUUUCUAUUUACCAAAAAUCCCUUAAAAAUGAUGUUUGCGGGAUACAUAGUGUUGUGCACGGGAUACAUUAGGUUUGAUACAUUCCACAUAGCGGGAUACAUAGCGUUGUGCACGGGAUACAUGCGGGAUACAUAGGUAAAUAAGGGAUUUUUGAAAUUUUUGAAAUAAGUAGGGAUAAAUGGAUAUUAAGGUAAGUAAAGGAGUGUAGUUAAGUAAUUUGUCCAA